rnacentral:rRNA from 1 species
UACGGAGGGUGCGAGCGUUGUCCGGAAUCACUGGGCUUAAAGGGCGCGUAGGCGGGCUGCCAAGUCUGGGGUGAAAUCCCACGGCUCAACCGUGGAACUGCCUCUGAUACUGCGGGCCUGGAGGGGGAUAGGGGCGUGCGGAACUUCCGGUGGAGCGGUGAAAUGCGUAGAUAUCGGAAGGAACACCGGUGGCGAAAGCGGCGCGCUGGAUCCCUACUGACGCUGAGGCACGAAAGCCAGGGGAGCAAACGGG